rnacentral:lncRNA from 1 species
UCAGCGUCCCAAGUAGCUGGGAUUACAGGCAUGUGCCACCACGCAUGGCUAAUUUUUGUAUUUUUGGUAGAGAUGGAGUUUCACCAUGUUGGCCAGGCUAGUCUCGAACUCCUGACCUCAGGUGAUUCACCCACCUCUGCCUCCCAAAGUGCUGGGGUUACAGGUGUGAGCCACCACACCCAGUCAAUAUCGAAGUUAACAGUAUGAUGAGGGCAGGCUUAGCAUAUGCCUACUUUUCUUUCUGCCAAAAUCUCAUGAAACACAAAAGGUUUAAAGAAAAAGUCAGGCGCAGUAGCUCAUGCCUGUAAUCCCAGCAUUUUAACACUUUAGGAGGCUGAGGCAGGAGGAUCACUUGAACCCAAGAGUUCAAGACCAGCCUGGGCAACAAAGUGAGACUCCAUCUAAAAAAAAAAAAAAAAAAAAAAAAAAUCAAAAAAUUAGCCAGGUAUGGUGGCAUGUGGUCACCUGUGGUCCCAGCUACAAAGGAGGCUGAGACAGGAGGAUUACUUGAGCCAAGGAGGUCAAGGCUGCAGUGAGCUGUGUUCAUGCCACUGCACUUCAGCCUGGGCUACAUAGCAAGACCCUGUCACACACACAUACACCCCAUACUGAGAAGGCUGGAAAACAGAUGAAAACACUGAGUCCAUUGAUGACAUGACCAUUAGCCAGUCCCUCUA